rnacentral:rRNA from 1 species
CGCGUAGGCGGGUUUUUAAGUCAGAUGUGAAAUAUGCGGGCUCAACCCGGAGAAUGCAUCUGAUACUGAGAAUCUUGAGUGCAGGAGAGGACAGUGGAAUUCCUAGUGUAGCGGUGAAACUGCGUAGAUAUUAGGAGGAACACCAGUGGCGAAGGCGGCUGUCUGGACUGUAACUGAGCUGAGGCGCGAAGCGUGGGAGCAACA